GGUUGUGGCCGAGUGGUUAAGGCGUUUGACUAGAAAUCAAAUCUCUUCGGAGGCAGAGGUUCGAGUCCUCUCGACGACG
rnacentral:tRNA from 1 species